rnacentral:rRNA from 1 species
AUUGAACGCUGGCGGCAUGCUUUACACAUGCAAGUCGAACGGUAACAGGCCGCAAGGUGCUGACGAGUGGCGAACGGGUGAGUAAUGCAUCGGAACGUGCCCAGUCGUGGGGGAUAACUACUCGAAAGAGUAGCUAAUACCGCAUACGAUCUAUGGAUGAAAGCGGGGGACCGUAAGGCCUCGCGCGAUUGGAGCGGCCGAUGUCAGAAUAGGUAGUUGGUGGGGUAAAGGCUCACCAAGCCAACGAUCUGUAGCUGGUCUGAGAGGACGACCAGCCACACUGGGACUGAGACACGGCCCAGACUCCUACGGGAGGCAGCAGUGGGGAAUUUUGGACAAUGGGCGCAAGCCUGAUCCAGCAAUGCCGCGUGCAGGAAGAAGGCCUUCGGGUUGUAAACUGCUUUUGUACGGAACGAAACGGCUCUGGUUAAUACCCGGGGCUAAUGACGGUACCGUAAGAAUAAGCACCGGCUAACUACGUG